rnacentral:tRNA from 1 species
GAGGGUAUAGCUCAAGUGGUAGAGCGCAUGCUUAGCAUACACAAGGUCCUGGGUUCAAUCCCCAGUCCCUCU